UCCGGUUUGGCACCGGCAGUCUCUCUAGAGUCCCCGACUUUACUCGCUGGCAACAUGGGACAGGGGUUGCGCUCGUUGCGCCACUUAAGGCAACACCUCACGGCACGAGCUGACGACAGCCAUGCACCACCUGUGCGGGCUCCGAAGAGCACCGUGUUUCCACGGUUUCACCCCGCAUGUCAAGCCCAGGUAAGGUUCUUCGCGUCGCAUCGAAUUAAGCAACAUGCUCCGCCGCUUGUGCGGGCCCCCGUCAAUUCCUUUGAGUUUCAGCCUUGCGGCCGUACUCCCCAGGCGGGGUACUUAUUGCGUUAGCGACGGCACCGAAGGGGUCGCUCCCCCCGACGCCUAGUACCCAUCGUUUACGGCGUGGACUAC
rnacentral:misc_RNA from 1 species